GGGGGGGUACGUUUAACUUCUUGCCCAGCCUAUAUUUCCAUGUCUAUCCCAGUAUGGGGCUAUUUUUUUUUAAACAUUUAUUUUGUUGAUAUAGCAUUGUUUAUAACAUGUAAGUUUCACAUGUGCUGCCUUCUGUGUAUUUUCUGCUCACCACCAAAAAUGUAGUGUUCAUCCCUCAGCAUGCAAUUGAGCCCCUUCCCCCAUUUUUGCUCUCCCCCUAACUGCUCGCUCUGUGGCCACUACUACUCUGUUCUGUCUCAAUUUUUGUUUGGUUUGGUUUGUUCAUUAGUUUUUUAUAUUCCACAUAUGAGUGAACUCAUGUGGUAUUUGUCUUUCUCCAUCUGACUUAUUUCUAAAUUUAGCAUAAUAUCCUUAAGUCCAUCCAUGUUUUUGCAAACGGCAAGAUACCAUCUUCUUGGCUGAAUAGCAUUCCAGUGUGUUUGUGUGUAUGUGUGUGUGUGUGUAUACGUAUGUAUGUAUGUAUACCAUAUCUUUUCAUCUAUUGAUGGGCAUUUAAUUUGUUUCUAGUCUUGGCUAUUAUAAAUAAUGCCAGGAUGAACAUAGGGGGGUCUCAUUGGAUCUACAGCCUCUGGCCUAUGCCACAGCCACAGCCGUGUGGGAUCCAAGCCACGUCUGUGACCUACAACGGAGCUCUCGGCAAUGCCGGAUCCUUAACCCACUGAGUGACGCCAGGGAUGGAACCCACAACCUCAUGGUUCCUAGUCAGAUUCAUUGCCACUGUGCCACAAUGGGAACUCCCCUUUGGUUACUUUUGAUCCAUGAACAGGUCCCUAGAUUUUUGUGUGUUUUCAUAAUAUUGAUAUAUUUGAGGAGUCCAAGUCAGUUGUUUUGUAGCAUGUCCUUCAAUUUGGAUUUGUCUUAUCAUUUCCUCAUGUUUAAAUUCGGACUAAAUGUUUUUGGCAGGAAUAAGCUUUAAAUGUUAACAUAGUUAAGUUUGUUUUGUUUUUUCCUAAAGUUUUGGUUGUUAUUGUCUGUUAUUCAAGACCUACCUGGUUGCCAUAAUAUGACUUUUCAUCUCUGUUUUCUUCUAAAAAUUUCAAGGUUUUGAUUUUUUUUUAAAUGUUUAGGUUUAUAGAUGCUAUUUUUAUUUUAUUUUUUGCUUUUUUUAGUGUCACUCCCGCGGCAUACGGAGGUUCCCAGGCUAGGGGUCAAAUUGGAGCUCCAGUUGCUAGCCUAUACCACAGGCGCAGCAGCAUAGGAUCCAAGCCAUGUCUGUGACCUACACCACAGCUCACGGCAGUGCUGGAUCCUUAACCCACUAAGCAAGGCUAGGGAUCGAACCUGCAUCCUCACAGAUACUAGUCGGAUUCAUUUCCACUGUGCCGUGACAGGAACUCCUAUAGAUGCUAUUUAUUUUUUCUGCUUAGUCUACCUAUAAUAUGGUGUUCAAUUAGCAUUUCUGUUAUACGUUCUUUUUCUACCAUUGUUUGUCAUAAAAUUAUUCUGUAAAUUCAUAAGAACAGAACAGCUUUUGUUAUGCUCUAAAUUAGGGCCAGAGCAUUGCAGAAAGUGCAAAUUUUGAAUUAUCUGAGUGUGCUAAAGGUGUAGCAGUUGAAACAACUCAAACAUUGUGUCAAAAUUGUAAAAAUUUUAAGAUAUAUUUGUAAAAAUUUAACUGAUAUCAUACUGUAAAUAAGACCAAGAUGUAACUUACAGAGUAAACAUCAGAAUCUUUCACAAAUCUGAAAUCAGUAACUGCCAUAUUUUUAAUCUUGGAUUAUUGACUAUUGCAGUAGGUUUGAUGAGAUAACCUGAUGUAGAAAUGAGAACUUUGAGGAAAGAAAGAAACCUAUAGACAGUAGAUUAGAUUUAGAAUACUUAGAUGGGAAAAAAAUGUGUGAUAUUACAGCCUUUGACACACAACUGGCACUCUGAAGUUUUGACUCUAUAAAAGUAGAAACCCAUUAUAACGUUCCUUCAAACAUAAUUUGCUGCUUCGUGCAGAGGCCACUACACUGUGUAGAGGUCUCAAGUAUUAAACUCUGUGAACUCUAGUAAUACAAGUAAUAAUUUAUUAUGCACUAUGUGUCAGCCACUGUUCUUAGCACCUUAGACUUAUAAAUGCAUUAAAUACUUGUUCCAACUCUGAGCAUUUUUGAGUAGAAGAAACUGAAGUGACUAUAUAAUUUGCUCAGUUAUAAAGCUAAUUAGUGUUAUAGCUGGGUUUUGAACUCAGACAGUGUGGCCCCAGAAUCUGUGGUCUUCACUGCAAGUAUGGGUCUAUGAUCUUGGUCGAAUUAUUUAACUUCUCUAUGCUGUUUUCUUCUUUGUAUAAUGAAUAGUAUCUAAUUCGUAUGUUUGUUGUGAAAAGUCAGUGAGAUAAAGUAUGUUUGGAGCUUAGAAUAACACAUGAAAAAAAAUGAGCACUCAAUAAAUGUUAGCUGUUAUUAUGUUAGCAUUACUAGGCAUUGAGCUUGUGCAUAUCUCUGAAUUUUUAUCAAAUAAGUGAGUUAAGCCAUAAAUAUGAUUGUAUAUACAAAAACGUAGAAAUAUCAUGGUGAUUAUUUCUGCCUGUCUGAUUUUUUAUCUCUGUGUUAUUUUGAAAGAGCAAAGUUACCAGCAGAAACAAAGUUGGAUGAAUGGUGAGCCAGGAGCUCAUUGGUAAGAGAGUGAGUUCUUUUGAAUAAAGCAGAAUUUUUAAUCUGCUUUUAAAAAAAAAUUCAAGGGUCAUUACUGAAGGUACAGAGUGCUGUAUAUUGACUGAAUGUAAAAACAGUUCAGCUUUAGCUUUUGAAAGCCUGUAAUUAAGUUUAGCAAUAUUUUGAAGAAAUAAAAGUCAUAUGGUGGUCCCCUCUUAUUUGUAGUUUUACAUUCCACAGUUUUGUUACCUGCAGUCAACCACAGACUGAAAGUAUUAAGUGGAGAAUUCCAGAAAUAAACAAUUCCUAAAUUUUAUAUUGUGUGCUGUUCUGAGUAGUGUGAUGAAAUCUUGUACUAUCCUUCCUGGGAUCCCCCGUCAUUUAUAUCCUCAUGGCUUGGUAAUCCAGGAUCACCCAAGCAGAUGAUCCUCCUCCUGAUAUAGCAUCAGAAAAUUAGUAGUAGCCUAGCACCGUGUCACAGUGCCUACGUCAUUCACCUUAGCUUCAUCUCCUUACGUAGGCGUCUCAUAUCAUUACAAGAAGAAGUAGUACAGUAGAAUAAGAUAUUUUGAGAGGGAGACUGUUCAUUCACAUAACCUUUGUUACAGUGUAUUGUUGUCAUUGUUUUAUUAUUGUUUAUUGUUGUUAAUCUCUUAUGUGCCUAAUUUGUAAAUUACACUUCGUCAUAGGUGUGUAUAUGUAGGAAAAAACAUAGUAUCUGUAGCAUUAGGUACUAUCCAGUUUCAGGCAUCCACUGGGUAUCUUGGAAUGUAUCUUUCCUCUGAUAAGGGGUCCACUGUACUACAUAUUCUCAGGCCCAAUCACUUUUUUAAUUUAAAUUUUUUGGUAUUUUUAGGGCUGCACCUAUGGCAUGGGAGGUUCUCAGCCUAGGGGUCAAAUUGGAGCUAUAGCUGCCAGUCUAUAGCACAGCCACAGCAAUGCUGGAUCCAGGCCGUGUCUGCGGCCCACACCACAGCUCACGGCAACACUGGAUCCCAACCCACUGAGCAGGGCCAGGGAUGGAACCCGCGUCCUCAUAGAUACUAGUUGGGUUCACUAACCGCUGAGCCAUGACAGGAACUCCAAGCCCAGUCAUUUAAAAUGUUUUCUUUACAUGCUCUCUUGUUCCUUUCUGUCAAUAACCAUGUUAUUGUUGAAGGUCCGGUAUUACACAAAACUUUCAGUUGGAAGCAGCUUCCAUAUGCAGAUGUAGAACAAAUACAGCAUUCUAUGUGAUAUGGCAGAGGUAAUGGAGUGCUAGAGUAGCAGCAGUAAAAUGUUCAGGAGAACAUAGCAGAAUUUAGGUCUUUUUG
rnacentral:lncRNA from 1 species